CAUUACUGAGGUUAAAACAGGUCUGAGACUCUUGUGUGCUCGACUUGUAAUAUACACACACCUGUGCACUUUAAUAUAAAAACCUGUUAUAUGCAUGUAUUUGAGCUCUACGGAGCAAAUUAAAACAACUUUCAACAACGGAUCUCUUGGCUUUCGCAUCGAUGAAGAACGCAGCGAAUUGCGAAAAGUAAUGUGAAUUGCAGAAUUCAGUGAAUCAUCGAAUCUUUGAACGCAUCUUGCGCUCCUUGGUAUUCCGAGGAGCAUGCCUGUUUGAGAGUCGUGAAAUACCUCAAUUUCUUACUUUUGUGUGAAAUUGGACUUGGGUUUGCUGUGAUCAGCUCACCUUAAAUGCAUUAGUGAUGAGUUCUGAUAACAUCAAUACAUCAUAAAGAUUGUUGUGUUGAGGGUCAGACUGUUGCUUUACACUCUUAUGUCAUUUGACCUCAAAUCAGGCAGGACUACCCGCUGAACUUAAGCAUAUCAAUA
rnacentral:rRNA from 1 species